GGGCUGCAACAGCAUAUAUACUAAAAUUGGAAUGAUAAAGAGAUUAACACGGCCCCUGUACAAAGAUGACACUCAAAUUCGUGACGGAGUCCAUAUUUUA
rnacentral:snRNA from 1 species